rnacentral:tRNA from 1 species
AUGCUUCGGGAAUAGUCGGGAUAGCUCAGUUGGUAGAGCAGAGG